rnacentral:hammerhead_ribozyme from 1 species
AUUCAGCUGACGAGUCCCAAAUAGAACGAAAUGCGCGUGCUGGUU